GUGCUCUUUUAGUAGCCCAUAUACUAAAAUUGGAAUGAUACAGAAAAAUUUGCAUGCACCUGUUCAAGGAUGCAUGCAAACCUAAAAUAUAUUAGAGAUAUUU